rnacentral:rRNA from 1 species
UACAGAGGGUGCAAGCGUUAAUCGGAAUUACUGGGCGUAAAGCGCGCGUAGGUGGUUUGUUAAGUUGGAUGUGAAAGCCCCGGGCUCAACCUGGGAACUGCAUCCAAAACUGGCAAGCUAGAGUACGGUAGAGGGUGGUGGAAUUUCCUGUGUAGCGGUGAAAUGCGUAGAUAUAGGAAGGAACACCAGUGGCGAAGGCGACCACCUGGACUGAUACUGACACUGAGAGACGAAAGCUAGGGGAGCGAAUGGG